GGAGAGGUCGCAUAGUGGUCUAGUGCGGAUGUCUUGAAAACAUCUGUCGCCGCAAGGUGACCGCGAGUUCGAAUCUCGCCCUCUCCG
rnacentral:tRNA from 2 species